GACUCUUACGAUGAGGAUGUCAAGCUCCCUCUUCUGAAGUCUUUUGAGGACACUCUCGCUGGCAGAAUCGAACCAAUUAACAUAGCCACCACUGAGUAA
rnacentral:snoRNA from 1 species